rnacentral:rRNA from 1 species
CCUACGGGUGGCAGCAGUGGGGAAUAUUGGGCAAUGGGCGCAAGCUUGACCCAGCAACGCCGCGUGAAGGAAGAAGGCUUUCGGGUUGUAAACUUCUUUUAAGAGGGAAGAGCAGAAGACGGUACCUCUUGAAUAAGCUACGGCUAACUACGUGCCAGCAGCCGCGGUAAUACGUAGGUGGCAAGCGUUGUCCGGAUUUACUGGGUGUAAAGGGCGUGUAGCCGGGCUGACAAGUCAGAUGUGAAAUCCCGUGGCUCAACCACGGAACUGCAUUUGAAACUGUCGGUCGUGAGUAUCGGAGAGGCAGGCGGAAUUCGUGGUGUAGCGGUGAAAUGCGUAGAUAUUAGGAAGAACACCGGUGGCGAAGGCGGCCUGCUGGACGACAACUGACGGUGAGGCGCGAAAGCGUGGGGAGCAAACAGGAUUAGAUACCCUAGUAGUC